CUAGAUUCUGUUUUUCGUAAUUCAUCAUGGGUACACUAUAUUUACCAUGUGUGUGAUGAUGCAGGAUAUACCUGGGUUCUUUUAAAUUGCUAUGCUUUCCAUGUAUGUUUUACAAACAAAAUAUUGUUCUCUAUUCUCUAUUUUUUCAGCUUUGUAUGUGAUGCUGUGGAUGGUUGGGCCGCUCGCAAAUUCAAUCAAGUGUCGACCUUCGGAGCUAUUCUGGACAUGGUUACAAACAGGUU